rnacentral:rRNA from 1 species
CUGCGAGCGUGACGGCGCGAGCAGGUGCGAAAGCAGGUCAUAGUGAUCCGGUGGUUCUGAAUGGAAGGGCCAUCGCUCAACGGAUAAAAGGUACUCCGGGGAUAACAGGCUGAUACCGCCCAAGAGUUCAUAUCGACGGCGGUGUUUGGCACCUCGAUGUCGGCUCAUCACAUCCUGGGGCUGAAGUAGGUCCCAAGGGUAUGGCUGUUCGCCAUUUAAAGUGGUACGCGAGCUGGGUUUAGAACGUCGUGAGACAGUUCGGUCCCUAUCUGCCGUGGGCGCUGGAGAACUGAGGGGGGCUGCUCCUAGUACGAGAGGACCGGAGUGGACGCAUCACUGGUGUUCGGGUUGUCAUGCCAAUGGCACUGCCCGGUAGCUAAAUGCGGAAGAGAUAAGUGCUGAAAGCAUCUAAGCACGAAACUUGCCCCGAGAUGAGUUCUCCCUGAG